GGCCGGUUAGCUCAGUCGGCUGAGCGUCGUGCUAAGAACGCGAAUGUCACGGGUUCGAUCCCCAUAUCGGCCA